rnacentral:lncRNA from 1 species
CUCGGUUCAGCAUCCAAGACAAUCCCGACUCGGACAUAAAAUUUAGGUGAUGUUUUCUUUCUUUAAGAGAAAGUGACAUGUACAUAAGAAUUAUAAUAGUUAUGUUGGUAUGUUAUAUAGUUUUGUUGUAAAGUAAGAUAUUAUGUGUUUUGAUGAUUAUAUUAGUAAAAUGGUAGAAAUCCUUUAUGGCAUUGGUACCAAAUUGAAAUGGCUUGAUUAGUUUUAUGUAUUAAUUAGAAAUGAUAAUAGGAUUUUUAUGAAUUAAGUUCUUAUGUCAAUAUGUCAAGUAAGAUUUAAGUAUAUAAAUGCCUUGGUUGAAAUACUGGAAUUGUGUUGGUUAUGUUUGAAAUUUUGCAGGGGGUUGUAUGUAAAAAUAAGCUGAAAUGCUG